AGCGAACGCUGGCGGCAGGCCUAACACAUGCAAGUCGAACGAACUCUUCGGAGUUAGUGGCGGACGGGUGAGUAACACGUGGGAACGUGCCUUUUGGUUCGGAAUAACUCAGGGAAACUUGUGCUAAUACCGAAUGUGCCCUUCGGGGGAAAGAUUUAUCGCCAUUAGAGCGGCCCGCGUCUGAUUAGCUAGUUGGUGAGGUAACGGCUCACCAAGGCGACGAUCAGUAGCUGGUCUGAGAGGAUGACCAGCCACACUGGGACUGAGGCACGGCCCAGACUCCUACGGGAGGGAGCAGUGGGGAAUCUUGCGCAAUGGGCGAAAGCCUGACGCAGCCAUGCCGCGUGAAUGAUGAAGGUCUUAGGAUUGUAAAAUUCUUUCAACGGGGACGAUAAUGACGGUAACCGGAGAAGAAGCCCCGGCUAACUUCGUG
rnacentral:rRNA from 1 species